AGAGUUUGAUCCUGGCUCAGGAUGAACGCUGGCGGUCUGCUUAACACAUGCAAGUCGAACGCAAGUAGCAAUACUUGAGUGGCGGACGGGUGAGUAACGCGUGAGAAUCUGCCUAAAGAACCGGGACAACCACUGGGAACGGUGGCUAAUACCGGAUGUGCUCUAGCGAGUGAAAGGGGAAACUCGUCUUUAGAGGAGCUCGCGUCUGAUUAGCUAGUUGGUAGGGUAAAAGCCUACCAAGGCGACAAUCAGUAGCUGGUCUGAGAGGAUGACCAGCCACACUGGGACUGAGACACGGCCCAGACUCCUACGGGAGGCAGCAGUGGGGAAUUUUCCGCAAUGGGCGAAAGCCUGACGGAGCAAGACCGUGUGAGGGAGGAAGGCUCUUGGGUCGUAAACCUCUUUUGUCAGGGAAGAACACAAUGACGGUACCUGACGAAUCAGCCUCGGCUAACUCCGUGCCAGCAGCCGCGGUAAUACGGAGGAGGCAAGCGUUAUCCGGAAUUAUUGGGCGUAAAGCGUCCGUAGGUGGCUAAUCAAGUCUGCGGUCAAAGACCGGGGCUCAACCCUGGAAAGGCCGUGGAAACUGGUGAGCUAGAGUGCGGUAGGGGCAGAGGGAAUUCCCAGUGUAGCGGUGAAAUGCGUAGAGAUUGGGAAGAACACCGGUGGCGAAAGCGCUCUGCUGGGCCGCAACUGACACUAAUGGACGAAAGCUAGGGGAGCGAAUGGGAUUAGAUACCCCAGUAGUCCUAGCCGUAAACGAUGGAUACUAGGCGUGGCUCGUAUCGACCCGAGCUGUGCCGUAGCUAACGCGUUAAGUAUCCCGCCUGGGGAGUACGCACGCAAGUGUGAAACUCAAAGGAAUUGACGGGGGCCCGCACAAGCGGUGGAGUAUGUGGUUUAAUUCGAUGCAACGCGAAGAACCUUACCAGGGCUUGACAUGUCCGGAACCCUCUUGAAAGAGAGGGGUGCCUUCGGGAGCCGGAACACAGGUGGUGCAUGGCUGCCGUCAGCUCGUGUCGUGAGAUGUUGGGUUAAGUCCCGCAACGAGCGCAACCCUCGUCCUUAGUUGCCAGCACUUCGGGUGGGCACUCUAGGGAGACUGCCGGUGACAAACCGGAGGAAGGUGGGGAUGACGUCAAGUCAGCAUGCCCCUUACGUCCUGGGCUACACACGUACUACAAUGCUACGGACAAAGGGCAGCUAGCUCGCGAGAGUCAGCUAAUCCCACAAACCGUGGCUCAGUUCAGAUCGCAGGCUGCAACUCGCCUGCGUGAAGGAGGAAUCGCUAGUAAUUGCAGGUCAGCAUACUGCAGUGAAUCCGUUCCCGGGCCUUGUACACACCGCCCGUCACACCAUGGAAGCUGGCCACGCCCGAAGUCGUUACCCUAACCGUAAGGAGGGGGAUGCCGAAGGCAGGGCUGGUGACUGGGGUGAAGUCGUAACAAGGUAGCCGUACCGGAAGGUGUGGCUGGAUCACCUCCUUUUUAGGGAGACCUACUUCCAGAAGAUCGACCCAAAUCAAUUCAGGUCACUGGCAAGUCAUCCCAAGGUCGGUCGAGAUUGGUUCAAUGGCUUUCAAACUAGCUUCGGUUCGGUACGAGGGCUAUUAGCUCAGGUGGUUAGAGCGCACCCCUGAUAAGGGUGAGGUCCCUGGUUCGAGUCCAGGAUGGCCCACCUCCAAAAUGGGUGGGAGUAUAACUCAACUGAGUUAUAGGCAUAAUUUAUUAGUCAAGCUUCAGCAUCUUAGUUUGUCAAAAAAACAAAUAAGCCUGCUGGAGAUGUAGUCCAGUCAGAACCUUGAAAACUGCAUAGCAAUUAGUCAGGUAGAAACAAUUUGGUAAUUGUUGAUUGCCAAAUGUUUCACAGACACCAAAGUGGUCAAGCAAAUAAGGGCUAAUGGUGGAUACCUAGGCACACAGAGGCGAAG
rnacentral:rRNA from 1 species